rnacentral:tRNA from 1 species
GGAGAGAUAGCGAAGAGGCUAAACGCGGCGGACUGAAAAUCCGCUCCUUCGGGUUCGGGGGUUCGAAUCCCUCCCUCUCCA